UGGGGAAUAUUGCACAAUGGGCGCAAGCCUGAUGCAGCCAUGCCGCGUGUAUGAAGAAGGCCUUCGGGUUGUAAAGUACUUUCAGCGGGGAGGAAGGGAGUAAAGUUAAUACCUUUGCUCAUUGACGUUACCCGCAGAAGAAGCACCGGCUAACUACGUGCCAGCAGCCGCGGUAAUACGCAGGUGGCAAGCGUUGUCCGGAUUUAUUGGGCGUAAAGCGAGCGCAGGCGGUUUCUUAAGUCUGAUGUGAAAGCCCCCGGCUAAACCGGGGAGGGUCAUUGGGAACUGGGAGACUUGAGUGCAGAAGGGGAGAGUGGAAUUCCAUGUGUAGCGGUGAAAUGCGUAGAUAUAUGGAGGAAAACCAGUGGCGAAGGCGGCUCUCUGGUCUGUAACUAACGCUGAGGCUGGAAAGCGUGGGGAGCAAACAGG
rnacentral:rRNA from 1 species